rnacentral:rRNA from 1 species
GACGAACGCUGGCGGCGUGCCUAAUACAUGCAAGUCGAACGCAGUGGGGACGGGUGAGUAACACGUGGGUAACCUCCCAUCAGAGGGGAUAACACUUGGCAACAGGUGCUAAACCGAUACUGAUGGAGGAACCCGCGGUGCAUUAGCGAGUUGGUGAGGUAACGGCUCACCAAGGCCACGAUGCAUAGCCGACCUGAGAGGGUGAUCGGCCACACUGGGACUGAGACACGGCCCAGACUCCUACGGGAGGCAGCAGUAGGGAAUAUUCGGCAAUGGGCGAAAGUCUGACCCAGCAACGCCGCGUGAGUGAAGAAGGUUUUCGGAUCGUAAAGCUCUUUUGUUAGGGAGGCGUUAUCUGAAGAGAAAGCCACGGCUAACUACGUGCCAGCAGCCGCGGUAAUUC